ensembl:snRNA U4 U4 spliceosomal RNA
AGCUUUGUGCAGUGGUGGUGUCAUAGCCAAUGAGGUUUAUACAAGGAGCAAUUAUUGCUAAUUGAAAACUUUUCCCAAUACCCCACCAUGAUGACUUGCAAUAUAGUAGGCAUUAGCAACUUUUGAUGGUCUCUAUGGAGA